rnacentral:rRNA from 1 species
GAUGAACGCUGGCGGCGUGCUUAAUACAUGCAAGUCGAACGGAGACUGUAGCAAUACUGUCUUAGUGGCGAACGGGUGGGUAACGCGUUGGUGACCUGCCCCGAAGAGGGGGAUAACAGUCCGAAAGGAUUGCUAAUACCCCAUGUGGUCGUUUGGAUUAGAUGCCUUAUGACUAAACGGAUUUAUUCGCUUCGGGAGGGGCCUGCGUCCCAUCAGCUAGUUGGUGAGGUAAUAGCUUACCAAGGCGAUGACGGGUAGGGGACCUGAGAGGGUGGCCCCCCACAAUGGAACUGAAACACGGUCCAUACACCUACGGGUGGCAGCAGUAGGGAAUAUUGGUAAUCUGGGAAACCGGGAACCAGCAACGCCGCGUGCGCGAUGACGGCCUUCGGGUUGUAAAGCGCUUUUUAAAGGGAUGAGGAAGGACAGUACCUUUAGAAUAAGCCUCGGCUAACUACGUGCCAGCAGCCGCCGUAAAAC